rnacentral:rRNA from 1 species
ACUGUGCUAAGGUAGCAAAAUCAUUUGAUUGAUAAUUGCUUUCUAGAAUGAAAGGGUUAACAAAAGUAAAUCUUUUUUUUUUAUAGAAGCUAAUUUUCAAAAUUAAGUAAGAAUGCUUAAAGAAUUUAGAAAGACGAUAAGACCCUAGAAUCUAUUUAUGUCGAAAUAAGAUAUUUGCUGGGAUGGUAGGUUUAAUUCAAGAAAGAAGAAAACAUUUUGAAUGGAAUUAAUAAACCUAAUAUUUAUUUUAAGUUAGAUACUCUAGGGAUAACAGCAUUAUUUUUUUUUGGAGCCCUUAUUGACAAAAAAGAUUUUGACCUCGAUGUUGAAUUAUAAUAUCUUAAUGAAGAAGUUUUCGUUUAAAAAGGUCUGUUCGACCUUUAUUUUUAUACGUGAUCU